AUAGAACUUCUGUAGGUCAUACAGUUUAUU
rnacentral:sRNA from 1 species